rnacentral:tRNA from 1 species
GUGUAGCUUAGUGGUAGAGUACAUAUUCUCUACAAGUAUGAGGCCCUGGGUUUAAUCCCCAGCAC